CCAGGCACAUCAAACUGUACUUGGUGUGAAGAAGUACAGGUUUCAAUUUAGGUAAUGUAUAUGCUGCUGAAGCCAAGAAGAGGUCUGUGACCAUGGCAAUCUAUCUCCUGUAGAUUAAUAUAUGCUGGAGGCAUGACUGUUUUUGAGAUAUUUACCACCUGUGGAAUAGGACUUUUAUCAGCAGUAUUGCUUCUAUCAGAGACUGUUUUUGGACCAUGGCAGCUGCCAAUUCAUUCAUACAAUUGAAAGCUAUUGAAGUUCUUUGACAUCAACAAAGAGAAGAAUCAGUCAACUCAGUUCUCAUCCAUUUGAUUACCCGCUAACUCUGGGUAUACCCACAAGGCUUUUAAAUGCUUACUAUAUACCAGGCUGUGUACUAAGCUCUGGAGAUAUAAAGAGAAAGCAAAACCAGAACUUGACCUCAAGGAACUUAUAUUCAAAUUGUGGGGACAACAUAUACAGGUCACUCUAUCCACAUCCAUCACCCAAUCUGGAUCAUUCUGACCAUUAAUUACUGACCCUCAGGAUAUUUUAUAUUCUUUCUCAGAUUGUUAGGCUGAACCCUCCUGAGUGACUGAGUCUCAUUUAAGAUGCUAUGCACUAUUCUAGAGCUUAGUGCAAUCAGGACAACGUCAUCUGCAAAUGGGAGCAUCUGGAAAAUUUCACCAUCUAUAGAGAAUCCUUCUUCCAUUUGGGCUCUAUGCUGGAUAUCUUCCAUAACAAUAGGAAAGAUUUUGGCAAGCAUAAGCCUCCCUGUUUUAUGCUUCACUUGAUUUUGAAAAUCAUAGGAUCAUCAGGCAAAGUUAUCUGUUUUCCAUCUAUCAAGGAAUCUUGUAUGAUAUUAACGAAUGCAUAGGAAAUACCUUGUUAGCCCAAUCUUUGAGAAUGCAUUUUUAUUUCAUCCAAUCAAGUGGGAAAAUGAUGCUGGAUUUAGAGGCAGAGGACCUUGGUUCAAAAUUCUGGGUCUGCCACCUGGAUGAACUUGGGUCAGUGACUUCUUUUCUUCUGUCCUACGU